GGAUGUGAGAGCAAUAUUGUUGCAACAUCUGUCACCACAUUGAUCACCAUGGUGGAUUCAGCUGAUCUUGUUGGCUAGGCAGUUGUUGUGAUGUCUCAGGGACCUUUGAUCCAUGACCUCCCAGCCAUCAUAGAUCAAACUGAAGAGGAUAUGGGUUUUUUCCCAUCUCAGCAAGAUUCUGUUCCAUUCCAGAUGUCCCCUGUUGACAUUUUGGUGCCAAAGCCAAUUGAAACAGAGCCUGGUUCCCCGGAAAGUGUUGUGUUUGAUAGGAAGUCUUUUCUCAAAACACAUCGCUCCCAUAAGGAGUUUCUG
rnacentral:snRNA from 1 species